AUUGAACGCUGGCGGCAGGCUUAACACAUGCAAGUCGAACGAGUGGUGGACGGGCGAGAAAUGCUUGGGAAUCCGGCAUAUGGAGGGGGAUAACGACGGGAAACUGUCGCUUAUACCGCGUACCAUAGGAUGAGCCCAAGUGGGUUUGGGUAGUUGGUGGGGUAAUGGCCUACCAAGCCGACGAUCUCUAGCUGGUCUGAGAGGAUGACCAGCCAAACCGGGACUGAGAAACGGCCCGGACUCCUCCGGGAGGCAGCAGUGGGGAAGCUUCCGCAAUGGGCGAAAGUCUGACGGAGCAACGCCGCGUGAGUGAUGACGGCCUUCGGGUUGUAAAGCUCUGUUAAUCGGGAGACGGUACCGGAAUAGAAAGCCACGGCUAACUACGUGCCAGCAGCCGCGGUAAUAC
rnacentral:rRNA from 1 species